AGAGCUUUCAACGACACCUGGCCGAAUGAUCACAACAGGCACAUCCCCUCGGGAGCUGUCUAUCACCAUCUCCCCCAUUGCUUUGGUGAAAGUGAGUGGGAUAUGAGAAAGGACGCCCUCACCGUUCACGACCAAGUUCCUUCAUUUUCUGGGCCAUUUCUCGGUGAUGGAAAGUUCUUGCAGCUUCUGAAGCUAGUUUCAGCUCGGAUUCAAUUUCCAAUCUUGGAAGAGGAGUCUCUGGUGUUCCAACAAACACGUGUUUGGUCCUUAAAACUCGUACCGGUUGAGAAGUGAAGAACAAGAUUCAGUCUCUCGCAUUUCUUGGAAAAUCUC